rnacentral:lncRNA from 1 species
AGCACAUGGAAGUUCCCAGGCCAAGGAUUGAAUCCAAGCUGUAGCUGUGACCUACACCACAGCUGCCAGCAAUGCUGGAUCCUUUAACCCUCUGUGCUGGGCCAGGGAUCAAACCUGCACCUCUGAAGUGACCUGGGCCACUGUAACCAGAUUCUUAACUUCUGUGCCACAGCGGGAACUCCUGUCCGGGCUUUUUAUGUGAUUCAUUUCCACGAGUUACGGACAGAUGGAUGGUUGUCACUGGGUCUUUCUUGCAGAGAGCUCAAAGGAAAUUCUACACAGCAAGGAGGCUGGGAGCUUUCUUUGGUAUUUAUUUUGGCGGCAGUUUGCAUCCCUCCAUCCCUUUGGUGCCCCCAUUCUCUCCCCACCUGCGUCCCCCACAAGACUCUCAGGACAGGUCUCCAUUGGUCUGUAUCCCAAGGCUCCCAUGCUUGUCACAGCAACAUCUCUUACAUUUCUUAGAAAGAAAGUAUCCUAAGCAGCAACAUCCUGGAAACAUAACUAGUUUCUACCACUGGCUUCAUGAGAGAAAGGAAGUUCACGACAUUACACAAGGAAAUUGUUAAUGUUGAGAAAUAAACUCUUAUAUUGACCUUCUGAUGUAAGACAAAACUUUCUGAUGGGGGGUGGGCAGGCAUGCUUGGUUGAGGCAAAUGCCAGCAUUUCUCCACCAGCUCCAUCACUGGACCAUGAGGAAAAAAAAGGAAUCCUCAAUCUCACAGCUGCUUAGUUCCCGACAGCUCUUAUCAUGGUUCAUUUCCAUCCUCAAGGUUCUGCAGCCAGAAGCAGAGAGGCCCCACCAGCCAGAAGGACUGUCCCUUUCCUCAGGUCUAUUAGCCUGUUUACAGGACAGCUUCAUUCCCUGGCCAGCCAGAGGAAAUCUUCCCACGCUCCUCACCCACCAAGUUUCUUCCAUUGCAAAAGCAAAUGCCUCUUGCAAAAAACAUUCAUCUGUUCUCACGGCUUCCCCAGGCAGAGGUACUGUGCCUGGGAAAAUAGCCCAUCCCCAUAGCUCAAGAGAGGCAAGGGAAAGCCCGGGGGAGAACAAGCCAGGGGGAAAAAAAAAAUGUGGCUUAAAAAAAAAAAAAUACAGACACACAUGCCAGAAAACAGCAAGUGUCGGAGAAUAUGUGAAGAAAUUGGAACCCUUGUACAUUGUUACUUGGAAUGUAAAAUGAUGCAGGCAGUAUGGAAAACAAACUUAAAAUAGAAUUUCCAUAUGAUCCAGACCUUCCCCUUCUGGGUAUACCCCCAAAAAUUGAAAGUAGUCAAAGAUAUAUUUGUUCUCCCAUGUUUGUUGCAGCUAAUUCGCAAAAACCAAAAGAUGGAAGUCACCCAGUGGCCAUGGCAGAUGAAUGGAUACGCAAAAUGUGGUCUAUACAUUCAGCCUUAAACUCGAAACAAGAUUCUGAAGCAUGCUAUGAUGGGCAUGAACCCUAAGGACAUGAUGCUAAGGGAAAUCAGCCAAUGACAAGAGGACAAAUCCUGUCUGAUUCCCUGUAUAUGCAGCACCUAGAGUGGUCAAAAUCCUAGAGACAGGAAGUAGAACACUGGUUGCCAGGAGCUGGGGGUUGAGGGAAUGAGGAGUUAUUGCCUAAUGAGUACAGAGUUUCAGUUGCAAGGACGAAAACAGUUCUAGAGACAGAUAGUCACAAUAUUAUGACUGUAUUUAAUGUCACAGAGCUAUACACUUAAAAAUGGUUAAGAUGUGGAGUUCCCGUGUGGCUCAGUGGGUUAAGAAUCCAACUAGUAUCCAUGAGGAUGCAGGUUCUAUCCAUGGCCUCACUCAGUGGGUUAAAGGACCCAGCAUUGCCCUGAGCUGCAGUGUAGGUCACAGAAGUAGCUCGGAUCCCACAGUGCUGUUGGGAUCUUCAACCCACUGAGCGAGGCCAGGGAUCAAAACUGCAUCCUUACAGAGACAACGUUGGGGCCUUAACUCACAACGGGAACUCCUUUAGCCUUCAUUUUAUUUUAUUUUUAUUAAUUGCUUUUUAGGGCCGCACCUGAAGUAUAUGGAGGUUCCCACGCUACAGGUCUAAUCGGAGCUACAGCUGCCAGUCUACACCACAGCCACAGCAAUGUCAGACCCGAGCCACAUCUGCGACCUACACCACAGCUCACAGCAACGCUGGAUACUUAAUCCACUGAGUGAGGCCAGGGAUUGAACCUGAGACUUCAUGGUUCCUAGUCAGAUUUGUUUCUGCUGCACCACAAUGGGAACUCCAUAGCAUUCAUUUUAUUUAUUUAUUUAUUUUGUCUUUUUGCCAUUUCUUGGGCCGCUCCCGUGGUAUAUGGAGCUUCCCAGGCUAGGGAAGCGUAUCUGGCCUUGAUGUAGGAGAUGGACAGAGGAUGCUGUAGCCAGAGCAGUGGCUGGCGGGGGAAGCAGAAGAGAUCAUCAGAGAUGAGGAGUGAAACUCACAUCGAGGUUGCCCCCUGGCACCAAAGAAAGGAUGGCAUGAAACAGGAAUGGAGGAGGCGGGGACAUGGCCUGGGAAAGAGGAGCUGGUGUGUGGCACGUGUAUUCGCAGGGCCGGGACCCUAGAAAGAAGAUGCCCUGUAGAUGCACAAACCAGGGAGUGGGUGGGGCAGGCAAACUGGGGUUAGAAAUCCAGCUGUGGGGUCCGCCCUGCAGUUGUGGGGGGUGUGGGCAAGAAGGACUCUCCCCAGGGGGUGUGGGAAGGAGAUGCGGGGAUGGAGUGAGCUCCAGGGAGCCCACCCACCACUUAGUCAGCAUAUGAACAGCCCCACCCCGUGUCUCCAGUCUGCAUGGGAACUCUGCAGAGUGGGUGAUUUUGCCCCCUUUUAUAGAUAAGUCGACUGAGGCUUGAGAAACCACGUUUCUUGUCCAAGGUCAGAUGCUAUCUGGUGGCAGAUCUGGGUCAAGACCUAAGCCCAUGGGCGUCUCCAGCUGGGCCCUUCCUCCUAGUGCAAAGGCUGGACCUUCCCAGCCUUCAAUGAGAUGUUUACACUCAGAACAAAUGAGAUUGGGGCUGGGUUUUAGUUCCUGGGUUACUUUUAGUUUCCUGAGAACUUAGUGCAUCUGUGUUUGGGAGAGGGUGGGGGAUAAACAAAGCGAUUUUCAGGUUCCGGGCAAGUUGUAAAAUCCAGGGACGAAUAAGCAGUGCAAAGCUGGCUUGAGCCCUGGGUCACUUCUUCAAAGGUUCAGCUACUCUGCUGCAACCCAGAGACCCAGACUCAGGACAUCGGGAUAAAUCUGAGUGUGGGCGCACAGACAGGGCGCCCACAAGGGUGAGUCCUGUCUCUUUAGGCAACAGGCCUCAGAGGUGCUUCUGAGCACGUAACUUCUUUCUCACUGGCUUGCUUUAUUUAUUUACUUAAUUAAAAUCAAUACCACAGUGAUGAAAACAGCAGGCUUUGCAAAGCACAAGAAGUCCUCGGAAUCUUUGUCUCUCCUCCCACAUCUGCAGAGGGAUGCAAGUACAUUUCCCUAGGGCUUCAGUUCACUCUCUGUAAAUAAAGCUAAGCCAGUCACUCACACAUCCCCAUAGCCAGGAUCAGACGUCUUAGAGGAAAUUUGCUUGUUACACCCUUGAAUGAGCUCAUAAGGCGUGGUGGAGAAGGCAUCUGUCACCCGAAAUGUGGGAGUCCCCUUUCACAUGGUGGAUCUGUGGCCCACAACUCCUGGGCCAGCCCCACUGCAAUUUGCUGGGGUCCCCCUGUGUCCAGUUCUUUCCCACGGGAGGGGGAGGCUACAGGAAGUCAAGUCAGUCCCAUCCAGGCCAAGCCUUUUGAGAAACCGGCGGGGUUUCUCCAACUCUCCCAUCUGCUGGCUGGAGACAGAGGCCUCUGAGGCUCAGACAGGUGGGCAAAUGUGCGGAGCCAGGGUUUCUGAAUCACUUGAGAAAAGAGGGGCCUGACCUGCAGGAGUCACAUUGCCGGGUUGUUCUAGAGUCUUAAGUCACUGGUAUGUAGAGGGUUAUUUAUAGCUUCUGUGUGACUCUAUCAGAUACAUCUGUAGGUCUAUAAAUGUAUUUACAGACAUGGUGGGGGUGGGUGCACUUUCUGUAGACUCUCUGAGACACCAGUGGAGUCUUUUUUGGAGGCAGUGCCUUCAGCAUGCAGAAGUUCCUGGGCCAGGGAGGAAACCAUGCUGGAUCCUUAACUACUAGGCCACCAGGAAACUCCCAGUGAAAGUUGUUACUAAGUCAAUUGCAUUUGCAUCACAGGAGGGUUCCUAACCAUACAAAUGAUUUGCUGCAGGAUAGCACCUCACCCCCCCUCACCCCAUGCUCUGCAGUGCAAUUAAAAUAUCAUUCUGUUUACAGAUGCUGAUUUCCAUACAGCUUGAGAACAGGCCACCCACGUCAUGAAUGUGUAGGCUGAUUUGCACAGAAGCCGGGGAGGGCCCUGGCUAACUCUGGAUUGCUGAGGCCUUUCCCCCAUCCCCUGCCUCCAAGCCGAUGAGGCCAGGGUAGGUUUCCUCCACAACCACGCAUGGCACUUCCCACGGUCGUGGGAUCAGAAGCAUGAUGGAAUCCCUGUGAGGCUGUUUCUUCCCGGGCCCUAUAGCAUGGAUGACAAGUCCACACACAAGAAGUCAUAGAGGAGUUCCCCUCGUGUUUUAGUGGAAACGAAUCUGACUAGCAUCCAUGAGGACACAGGUUAGAUCUCUGGCCUCGCUCAGCAGGUUAAGGAUCUGUGAGCUGUGGUGUAGCUUGCAGGUGUGGCUCAGAUCCCACAUUGCUCUGGCUCUGGGUAGGCCAGUGGCUACAGCUCCAAUUUGACCCCUAGCCUGGGAACCUCCACAUGCUGCGGGUUCGGCCCUAAAAAGACAAAAAAAAAAAAAAAAAAAAAAAAAAAGUCGUAGAAACAGCAGAGUGUGGAUUUGAGCUGCAGUGAAGUCACCUCUUGGAGGCGAGCAGGGAAGGUUUCCAGGCUUUUCCUUCUAGAAUAGGAGACUGAGGGCCUGUGAGGAACACAUGGGCACAAGGACCCUGGGGCGAGUGCAGCUGGGGGCCUGGGAGUUGAGGCUGAAGAUACAAGGGUAUGAAGCCAGUGUGUGUGCAGCUGAGACAGAGGCUGGUGGGAGGGAUGCGGGGGAGGAAAGAGAGUCUAAGAAUGACAGUUACGGCGAGGUCACACCAAGGUGACAAAGCAAAUUUAGUGAAAACUCAAGGCAGUCAAGCUAGGGUAAGUGGGUAAAUCCAAGAAGAAGAAUGGAUCCUAAGAACUGAAGACCUUUAAAUCCGUUAGUUGUUUAUAAAGACAGAGUAAAAAGACAAAGAAGGAUAGGAUGUUAAAAUACAUCUGUUUUUAUAGGAAUUCCCAUUGUGGCUCAGUGGGUUAGGAACCUGACUAGUAUCCAUGAGGAUGAGGGUUCUAUCCCUGGCCUCACUCAGUGGGUUAAGGAUCCAGCAUUGCCACAUAACUAUGGUGUAGGUCACAGAUAUGGUUCGGAUCUGGUGUUGCUGUGGCUGUGGUGUAGGCUGGCAGCUGCAGCUCCGAUUCGACCCCUAGCCUGGGAACCUCCAUAUGCCACAGGUGCAACCCUAAAAAUAAAAAAUAAAAUAAAACAUGUUUUUAUCUAGAUUUGGGGCAGGGGAUGUUGUUUGUUCCUUUUUUUAUGAAACAAAAAAGUGGUUGCAAGUGUAAGCCACUGCCAGAAUUGCAGUUAGGUUCAUAACUCAGUUCCAAAUAUUCUGCUAAAACACCCUGUUGGUCCUGAUGACAGACAGAGACAUCUCGUCUCAGAUUUCCCUCAGAAAGCCUGCAGACUUAGCCCCACAUCUGGCCAGCUCCUGCCAGCUCCUGGCUGCAGAAUCCCAUUCUGUCUAUAAUCCUCCUUCUUGCUCCGUAAACAAAGAGGCAAGGAAUUGAUCUGACCAAGGGCCCCCAAACUAUAGAUAUAUUGCCAAACAAUUAUGAAAAAGCCAAGCAAGUUUUUUUUGGGGGGGGGGGCUUGCUUGUGGCAUGUGGAAGUUCCUAGACCAGGAAUUGAACCUGUGCCACAGCAGUAACCCAAGCCACAGCAGUGACAAUACCAGAUCGUUAACCCGCUGAGCCACCAGGGAACACAAGUUUUCAAAUACUCAGCCCCUAACCAUGUUUAACUACAAAAUCACCAAAGAAGAGAUUCGAAGAGCCAUAGAAAUAAGCUCUGAACAGAGUGAGAGUAUUAAGUGUCCUUCCUGUGUCUGGUCUGCAGCAGUGUUUCUCAGCAUCUCAAAAGCCCAUGAGCAUGCAGAUCCCCUGAGGAUUCUGAUGCUGAAGGUCUAGGGGGAAACCCAGGAUGCUGCCUUUCUGUCAAGCUACCAGGAGAGGCCGUUGCUGCUGGCCCAACCACCGCACAUCGAGAAGCAAGGGUCUAGAGCAAUUCGGAGGCUAAUUAAGAGCUAUAGAUAUUAGAGGCACAGCUUCUGAUCUGGGACUUGAGGUGUGCCAAGAAACUGUGGCACUGACAGAGCUCUGCCCCCAUUCUGAAACUGUCAAGGGUUUUACACACACACACACACACACAUGCUUUUGCUCACAUACAUGAAGGAAUCUAUUCAAAACCUAUGCUAAAAUUUUUUUAUUCACACCCUGCCACACACGGGUCACACAUUCAGUCUGGAAGUUUGAACAUUAAUUCUUGAAGUUUCUUUUUGAGUCUCAAUCACAGGAGGAAAUUUUAAAAGCAAACGUCUAAAAUAUGGACUGAUAUCCAGGCAGAUGUGCCAAGUCUCUGAAUACCAAGAACCUCGGCAGGUGGGCAAUGGGGUUUUUAAUCGAUAUUAACAUGCCCCAUGGCACUCAGGUGUUCAACGCCUGAGCCCCCAAAAUGAGUGUGAUUAUCUCGUUCUUCUUAAAUCUGACAGCUGAUGACUGCCAGCCACAUGAAGUGUCCCAGACACCAGGGGAGGAGAUUCAAGGACACUGAGUCUGGGUCAGAUCCCAACACGCCUUUCUCUAAUCCCUCGAGUUAAUGGCCACCUUGAAUUACCUUGGCACUUACAGGGAGGGGCUGUUCUCCAACCUCCAACCAUGUCAUAAGAUCUUCAAACUGAAAAGACUUCCAUGAAAACGGAAUUGGUAUAUGCACACUGUGGUCUGUGGAGGGAUUGUCCAAUGGGGACCUGCUGUAUAGCACAGGGAACUCUACCCAAUAUUCAGUGCUAAGCUGUAUGGGAAAAGAACCUGAAAAAAAAAAAUGGAUGUGUGUAUAUGUAUAACAGAAUCACUUUGUUGUAGAGCAGAAAUUAUCACAAUGUGGUAAGUCAACUAUACUUCAGUAAAACUUUAAAAAAUAAAAAAAAAUGUGAUUUAUCAAUUAGGAAAGUUAACAGCAACCUUUCUUUGAAUAUCUGCUUUGUUUAGAAUUUAAGUUACGUUUGCAUUUUUUUUAAUCAAGCAGUUCAUCCAUACUCAGAAUGAAACAAAACAGAACAUGUGGCCAAACAGGAGCCCUUAUCAGAAAAAAAGCAGGGCUGGAGCAGACACAAACUCAUACUGAACUUGGGAAUCAGUCACUGGGCUGUGGUGGAGAGUACAUGGUGCCCUCUGGGACCUAUAUAGGUUCAAAUUUCCCAGUUACCAUUUAAGAGUGCCUGACUUUGGACUAGUCAUUUAGCCUUGUGAACAUCUUAUCUCCUUCACUGGGUCACCAUUAAGAUGGAAUGAGAUAUGGGGAGUUCCCUGGUAGCUCAGCAGGUUAAGGAUCCAGCACUGUCAGUGCUAUGGUGUGGGUUUGAUCUCUGGCCCCAGGAACUUUCGAAUGCCACAGGUGAGGCCAAAAAAAAAAAAAAAAA